UACGUAGGGUGCAAGCGUUGUCCGGAAUUAUUGGGCGUAAAGAGCUCGUAGGCGGUUUGUUGCGUCGGCUGUGAAAUCCCGAGGCUCAACCUCGGGUCUGCAGUCGAUACGAGCAAACUAGAGUGUUGCAGGGGAGACUGGGAAUUCCUGGUGUAGCGGUGAAAUGACGCAGAUAUCAGGAGGAACACCGGUGGCGAAGGCGGGGUCUCUGGGCAACAACUGACGCUGGAGGAAGCGAAAAGCGUGGGGGAGCGAACAGG
rnacentral:rRNA from 1 species